GCUGAACUCUCCAAGUCUAUUAUUUUUCCAGUUUGGCUCUUCUGGUCUUAAAUUUUAAAUUAACUUUAAAUUCCAGGCAAUUUUUACUUUAUUAAAUCCUGUUUGUGCAGAGCUCCCUAAAACAAACCAGUGCUCGAUAUGGGGUUCUGAAGCUGAAAAUUACCUUGGGCCCAAUUACUAAAUAUGGAUUUUUGAUCUUCGUGUGUUUAAAAAAAUAUUUUUUUU